GGCCCGCACAAGCGGUGGAGCAUGUGGUUUAAUUCGACGCAACGCGAAGAACCUUACCUGGCCUUGACAUGCAGAGAACUUUCCAGAGAUGGAUUGGUGCCUUCGGGAACUCUGACACAGGUGCUGCAUGGCCGUCGUCAGCUCGUGUCGUGAGAUGUUGGGUUAAGUCCCGCAACGAGCGCAACCCUUGUUCCAUGUUGCCAGCACGUAAUGGUGGGGACUCAUGGGAGACUGCCGGGGUCAACUCGGAGGAAGGUGGGGAUGACGUCAAGUCAUCAUGCCCCUUAUGUCCAGGGCUUCACACAUGCUACAAUGGCUCAUACAGAGGGCUGCGAGACCGUGAGGUGGAGCGAAUCCCUUAAAGUGAGUCUCAGUUCGGAUCGGGGUCUGCAACUCGACCCCGUGAAGUUGGAGUCGCUAGUAAUCGCAGAUCAGCAACGCUGCGGUGAAUACGUUCCCGGGCCUUGUACACACCGCCCGUCA
rnacentral:rRNA from 1 species